rnacentral:rRNA from 1 species
CCUACGGGGGGCAGCAGUGAGGAAUAUUGGUCAAUGGCCGGAAGGCUGAACCAGCCAUGCCGCGUGAAGGUCAGUGCCCUAUGGGCGUUAAACUUCUUUUGUGCGGGAGCAAUAAUGGUCACGUGUGGCCAGACGAGAGUACCGUACGAAUAAGCAUCGGCUAACUCCGUGCCAGCAGCCGCGGUAAUACGGGGGAUGCAAGCGUUAUCAGGAAUUAUUGGGUUUAAAGGGUGCGUAGGCUGGGAGGUAAGUCAGCGGUGAAAUGCCCCCGCUCAACGGGGGGAAGUGCCAUUGAUACUGCAUUGCUGGAAUGCGGAUGCCGGAGGAGGAAUGUUUGGUGUAGCGGUGAAAUGCAUAGAUAUCACACAGAACACCGAUUGCGAAGGCAGCUCACGAAUCCGUGAUUGACGCUGAUGCACGAAAGCGUGGGUAUCAAACAGGAUUAGAUACCCCAGUAGUC